rnacentral:rRNA from 1 species
UGCCCUUGACUCUGGGAUAAGCCUGGGAAACUGGGUCUAAUACCGGAUAUGACUUCUCAUCGCAUGGUGGGGGGUGGAAAGCUUUUGUGGUUUUGGAUGGACUCGCGGCCUAUCAGCUUGUUGGUGGGGUAAUGGCCUACCAAGGCGACGACGGGUAGCCGGCCUGAGAGGGUGACCGGCCACACUGGGACUGAGACACGGCCCAGACUCCUACGGGAGGCAGCAGUGGGGAAUAUUGCACAAUGGGCGCAAGCCUGAUGCAGCGACGCCGCGUGAGGGAUGACGGCCUUCGGGUUGUAAACCUCUUUCAGUAGGGAAGAAGCCCUCUUUUGGGGGUGACGGUACUUGCAGAAGAAGCGCCGGCUAACUACGUGCCAGCAGCCGCGGUAAUACGUAGGGCGCAAGCGUUAUCCGGAAUUAUUGGGCGUAAAGAGCUCGUAGGCGGUUUGUC